CACGCCGUAAACGAUGGAUGCUAGCUGUAAGAGGUAUCGACCCCUCUUGUAGCGAAGCUAACGCGUUAAGCAUCCCGCCUGUGGAGUACGGUCGCAAGACUAAAACAUAAAGGAAUUGACGGGGACCCGCACAAGCGGUGGAGCGUGUUGUUUAAUUCGAUGGUAAACGAAGAACCUUACCCAGGUUUGACAUCCUUGGAAUUUUGCCGAAAGGCGAGAGUGCUUUAUUGAGCCAAGUGACAGGUGU
rnacentral:rRNA from 1 species